rnacentral:rRNA from 1 species
UACGGAGGGUGCAAACGUUGCUCGGAAUUAUUGGGCGUAAAGCGCACGUAGGCGGUCUCGUAAGUCGGGUGUGAAAGCCCGGGGCUCAACCCCCGGAAGUGCACCUCGAAACUGCAAGGCUUGAGUACGGAAGAGGGGUCUCGGAAUUCCCGGGUGUAGAGGUGAAAUUCCGUAGAUAUCGGGAAGGAACACCAGUGGCGA